rnacentral:rRNA from 1 species
UACGAAGGGGGCUAGCGUUGUUCGGAAUUACUGGGCGUAAAGCGUAUGCAGGCGGAUCUUUAAGUCGGGGGUGAAAUCCCGAGGCUCAACCUCGGAACUGCCUUCGAUACUGAAGAUCUUGAGUCCGGGAGAGGUGAGUGGAAGUGCGAGUGUAGAGGUGGAAUGCGUAGAGAUGCGCAAGAACACCAGUGGCGAAGGCGGCUCACUGGCCCGGUACUGACGCGGAGAUACGAAAGCGUGGGGAGCAAACAGG